rnacentral:rRNA from 1 species
AUGGCACGACUCCUCCUCAUCCUGGCCGCCUCGCUGGUCGCACUGGCGUGGCCGGCGUCGUGCCAACGUCUUCCGGUGCUCGCCCCGGUCACCAAGGAUCUCGCCACCUCCCUCUACACCCUCCCCUUCCACGACGGAGCCAAUCUCGUCGUCGACAUCGCCGGCCCGCUCGUCUGGUCCACCUGCCAGCGUGACCACCUGCCGGCGGAGCUCCCGUGCAAGAGCCCCACCUGCCGACUCGCCAACGCCUACCCCGUCCCGGGCUGCCACGCGCCCGGCUGCGGCCGCGAUUGGCACGGCGACAGGACGUGCACGGUCUACCCGUACAACCCGGUCACCGGCGCGUGCGCUGCCGGGAACCUCGUCCACACAAGGUUUGUCGCCAACACCACCGACGGGAGGAACCCGGUGAGCCAGGUGAACGUCAGGGCCGUGGCGGCGUGCGCGCCGAGGAAGCUCCUGGCGUCGCUGCCCCGGGGCUCCACGGGCGUUGCCGGGCUGGCGGGCUCCGGCCUGGCGCUUCCGGCGCAGGUGGCGUCCACGCAGAAGGUCGCCAAUAAGUUCCUCCUCUGCCCCCCCGCGGCGGCCAACGGCGACGGCGUGGCCAUCUUCGGCGGCGGCCCGCUUCACUUCUGGGUGGACCCGUCGGACUACACGCAGUCGAUGGACCACACCCCGCUCGUCACCAAGCAGGGCAGCCCGGCGCACUACAUCUCGGUCAAGUCCAUUAGCAUGGACAACACCCGCGUCCUCGUCUCCGAGCGCGCGCUCGCCACGGGCGGCGUGAUGCUCAGCACGAGGGUGCCCUACGCAUUGCUCCGGCGGGACGUCUACCGCCCGUUCGUGGACGCGUUCGUCAAGGCCCUGGCGGCGCAGGCUGCGCCAGUGAGGCCUGUGGCGCCGUUCGAGCUGUGCUACGACGCGCAGACGCUGGGCAACACGAGGUUCGGGUACUGGGUGCCGAGCGUCACCCUGGCGCUCGACGGCGGGAGGGACUGGAGGAUGGCCGGGGUGAACUCGAUGGUGGACGUCGAGCCGGGGACGGCGUGCCUUGCGUUCGUGGAGAUGAAGGGGGUGAAGGCCGGGGACGGCAGGGCGCCGGCGGUGAUCGUGGGAGGGCUCCAGAUGGAGAACAUCGUGCUGGAGUUCGACAUGGAGAAGAAGCGGCUCGGGUUGCGCACGAUGCCCUACUAUAUGCAGUGCAGCCACUUCAAUUUCACUCGAAGCGCCUAG